GAAGUGUGUGUGGGUAUCCUAGGCACACCACUCGAAGUCCUUUAGCCCUCCAUCACCUCCAGUCGGUCAAGCCCUCCCAAAUCCCGCAGCUAACUCGAGGCCUGUGAUCUUCCAUAUCUCCCGCAUGGAGCCUAGGUAGGGAAAAAAACUGAGCUUACCCCUGUACGCAAAGGACCAUGUCCCAGAGACAACGGCGGCUCGAGAGUCGGAGUUCGGCGGGAUGGAAGGAGAAAGGAGCCAAUGGGUGCCAGGGGUGCGAAGGUAAAGGAAGAGGAUAGUCCCAAAUUCCUUGCCACGGGAACCCACUUAGAUGGCACCAACCUUGACUUUCACAUGGAGCAGCACAUCUACAGAAGGAAAAGUGACAGUCUCUGCAUCAUAAAUCUGAGGAGGACCUGGGAGAGGCUGGUGCUUGCAGCUCAGGCUAUGGUUGCUAUCAAGAACCUCGUGAUGACAGCGUCAUCUCCUCUAGGAACACCGGCCAGUGAGCCAGCUGGAAGUUUGCUGCUGUCACAGGCACCCUCCCACUGCUGGAUGCUUCAUGCCUG
rnacentral:lncRNA from 1 species